GUCAUGUCUGAGUGAAGCCAGGUUAGCGAUCUUGUCUGAGAGAAGCCAUGUUACAGGCCUGGUCUGAGAAAAGCAAUGUUAGCAGUUGUGUCUGAGAGAAGCCAUAUUACAGGCCUGGUCUGAGAAAAGCAAUGUUAGCAGUUGUGUCUGAGAGAAGCCAUGAUAAAGGCCUGGUCUGAGAAAAGCAAUGUUAGCAGUUGUGUCUGAGAGAAGCCAUAAGGUUCAUGGCUUCUCUCAGACAUAGCUUUUCUCAGAUAUGUAAGGGCCAUGACUGAGAAAUUCCAUGUCACAGGCGUGGUCUUACAGACGCCAUGUUACAGGUUGUGCCUGUGAGAAGCUGUGAUAAAAGUUGUGUCUGAGUAAAGCCAUGUCACAGUCCUGGUCUGAGAAAAGCAGUUUUGUCUGUGAGAAGCCAUGUUACAGGUUGUGUCUGAGAGAAGCUGUUAUAAAGGUUGUGUCUGAGUGAAGCCAUGUUAGCGAUCUUGUCUGAAAGAAGCCAUGUUACAGAGAGAAGCCAUGUUACAGGUCGUGUCUGAGAGAAGCGGUGAUAAAGGUUGUGUCUGAGUGAAGCCAUGUUACAGGUUGUGUCUGAGAACAGUAGUUUAGCAGUUUUGUCUGUGAGAAGCCAUGUAAGGCCCAUGACUGAGAAAUGCUAUGUUACAGGCCUGGUCUAAAAAAAGCAAUGUUAGCAAUUGUUAGAAGCCAUGUUAGUGGUUGUGUCUCAGAGAAGCCAUGUCACAGGCCUUGUCUGAGAAAAGCCAUGUAAGGGCCAUGACUGAGAAAUGCUAUGUUACAGGCCUGGUCUGAAAGGAGUCAUGUUACAGGUCGUGUCUGAGAGAAGCUGUGAUAA